rnacentral:lncRNA from 1 species
ACUAACUUACCCCAUUUUCUAUAUCAUGUUUAUCAUCAUGAUAGCAUCUUGUGUUUUCCAAGUCAAGUUCCUGAAUCAAGCCACGAAACUCUACAAUACGACAACAGUGGUGCCAGUUAAUCAUAUUUUCUUUACAAUCAGUGCCAUCAUUGCAGGUAUCAUAUUUUAUCAGGAAUUCCUUGGUGCUCCUUUUCUCACUGUAUUUAUAUAUCUUUUUGGGUGAGUAAAUGUCUCAGAGGUAAAGCAUGUGAAAUUCUAUUACUUUUACGUAGGAUUUUCGGCAUUGUACCGGAGGUAUAGAAAAUUGGAAAAUAAUAUAAGAAACAUCAGUUUCCUGAGCUCCUAAAAGAAACAUAUUUUUUAACUUAAGGCCCUAAACAGGGCUCAGCGUCUUUGGCUUUGUGACUUAGGUAUAUCUCUGCUGUUCUGAAACAUUGGGGAUUUCCAAUUCCAGGCCAAAGACAAGAUACAUCCACUGGCCCUUGUAGUUACUGCACGACCUUUCUGUACUGUAUCAGACCUACUUCGCUCUUGGGAACCCCUAGAUUAGAUCUAAAUUAGAGAAUCAUGAUCCUCUAGGGUCGCCCAAAAUAAAAGGCCAAGAUGGGCAGAUCCCUUGCUUUAGUCAUGAUAAUAUCAGGUUGGUAGCAUCCCUUUCUUGUGUUAAGAGUGUGCAGCUUGAGCUCUCCCUAGAGAUUUGGUGGGCAUCAUUGCUAGCAUUGCUUGCAAACAGAGAGCAGAACUUUGACAAUAUAUCACCAGUGUAUAGGAGCUUCCAUGACUCCAUGAGGCACUUCAUUAAAUGUUUAGCUGCUCCUUGAUCUAGUAGUCAGCAUGAUCAUUGUUAUGCAAACUUGAGCCUAGGCUAUUUUCGGUGUAGGAAGCCAUCUAUCUUGAAAAUUCAAUUUCAUAAGAUAAUUGGGCAAGGCCAAACUUCUGAGGUCUGGAAAUUAUGACUACUCUUAUGGCCAAGGAAAACUAGAUUUCUUAGAAAAUUAAAGAAUAAAUUAUUUUUUCUCUUGUGUCACAUGCCAGAAAUGGAUCUGGGCGUGCAUGGGCAGAAAAUGAGACAGGGUGUCCCCAAGGGUUUUGAGCCUGAGUUAGCCCCCAGAUGGUAAAAACCUGGGCCAGAGAUCUACUGGAAUCUGCCCAAGUCUUGGUUCUGGGUAGAACUAUUGGCUGUGCUAAUUAAGACAAGUACUAGGAAGCUUACCAUGAGAAACUGGAAGAACAAAACCAAUGGGAUUUAUGUCAUCAUGUAGAAUAUGGAGCUCAGUUAUUUAAUACCAUGAGUCUGUUUCAGUGUUCUUGUAUUCUUUAUUAAUAUUAUCCUUACAGGUGUUUUCUGUCAUUCCUUGGUGUAUUUUUGGUCACAAGAAAUCGAGAAAAGGAACAUCUGCAACAGUCUUAUAUUGAUUUUGGAAAUAUUCCUGGGAAACAAAUGUUGGACAAAAUACAACCAGAUUCACAUAGCUUAUCCUAUGGAACUUUGCCUGAUGGAAGUGACUCAACAAAGAGCCAAAGUGGAGAGAAGAAAGAGGUCUAAAUGCUGAGAAGGAUGGCUGUUGGCCUGUUAUUCGAUACCACCUUUUUAAAAAAUUGCACAUGUUCAAUUUGUGUCAGCAGCUCUUUUAUAAGCUAACAUGUGCUAGCAUUCAUUUCAGUCCUUUCCCCCACCUCAGCGUCUAUGGACAAUCGGGGACUUCCUAAGCUCUGACAGUCUAAUAUUUCCAUGGAAUGUGAUUUGGAGUGUUCCCCACACCCUGGACCUCUCCCUAGUGAUUAUCUAGCCAGCUACACCUUACUCAGAGCCCGGCUGCUCUAGCAGGAAUGUUGCACAGAAACAUACAUUUGCGGUUUGGCCACAGGUCGCAUAGGUGGCUUCUCCCACGGGUAGUGUCAGUUGCUUCACUUUAAAAAGUCACUUCAGCCCCACAACCUCACUCCCAAAAGAAAGGUUUGAGAGCGCUCAUUUUUUUUCUAAGACACCUUUUAUAAGCCUCCCUAUAAAAAUCUCACCUUUCAAGUACUAAGUUAGAAUUGCAAGUCAUCUUUUCUGAAAACUAAUGCUAUCAAAGUCCUCCUUUGAAAAUUAAGGGUCUCUUUAAAAUUAGAAUUUAUAAAUGGCAUUCAGUGAUAGUGUACACCAAAAUUAAAAGACCUUGACUGGUGGGCUUUUUACGUGUAAGGAAGAGGAAGUUUAAGAAGUAGGACUCUGCUUGUUUCAGUAGCCCAUGUACUAAAAUAGGAACAAUGCAGAGAUUAGCACAGCCCCUGCACAAGGCUGACACAUAAAUUCAUGAAGCGUUAGAGACAAAAAGUAGGACUAAUGUUUGUUUAUUUUUUAAUAAAAAUCUAGAAUGGUGAUGUUUUCUUCAGCUGUAUGAUUCUAUCAUACUUGAAACUGAAGAAAAAUUUAAUAUCCUAUGUCUUUUUUAUAGAUCUUAUAAUUUAUCAAGUGGAUUUAUAUGUCUUAUUCUCCAUAUAAGUCUAAAAAAUCACAUUUAAAUUCUUAGUGAUAGUUUCACUACACAUCAUUUCUUCCCAAAGUCAUUACCUCAAGCUUUGUAAAUUCUUCUAGAUAAAAGGAGAGUUGUGAUUAGAGAACUGAAUUUCAGCCAUUUAAACCUGUAGACAUAGAAAACAACCCAGUGGUCAAACCUGAGCUUCAAGAGGAAGCCCAAGUCCUCCUGUUUCCUGAAUGGCUUUUCCACUCCAAUUCAUCACAUAUCUGCUAAGACACAUUUGCAGGUAGAAUCCAUAAUAAUAUCUGUUAUUUAUGAUCUACCUAAUAUUUAAAGGAGAAGAAAAGAAGUAGCCUUCGUUGCAGCCAACAUCCAACAAUAAGUCCCACCCUUAAUGACAUUUCAAAGCCUUCAGAUCACUUCUGACAUGUCUGUCCAAUAUCAUUCCAAUCAAUAGUCUUGCAUUUAAAUAGGUUGUUUAACUCGGUGGUAUUGAGACUGUAACCUUAAUGGCUCAGGUCUUUUAGCUUUGUUCUUUGUCAUAAUCUGCACUCCUGGCCAGACUGACCAAACCUGGCUGCAAAGGAAAGAGAUUUGAAUUGAUCACCAAUGUAUGAAAAAUACAGAACCCAUGUCUGGCUCCUAAACUCCUGGUAAUAAUUCCCGCCAUCGUAGCAAGUGUCCCAUGCAUUCAGAUAAAGCAGUCAUAAUUUAUGGUGUAUUUUACCGAAUUGGUCCAGCAUAUUGGUCCUACAAGGCUCAGCCAAGAAAUGUAUCUGGUGCCUUAAACUACAGAUUUCUGGUGACUCUUAAAACUGGUUUACAAAGAUUGAGAAAACAAUUAGAUUGAAGAGUUUUGCUUCAAGUAGACCUGCAUUCAUAGCUAGAGUGCAUGAGAUUUUCAGCACUGUAGAAUUUCACACAGGCACAAGCAUAACACCAGUACUUUAGCAGCCGCCAACAGUUGCAUCUAUUAAACGUUUUGAGAAAUGACAUUGACUUAUGCACAUUUAAGCAAUCAACAAUGUUUUAGAAGUCCAGGUAACAUAUAAAAUAUAUUCAGACCUAGUUUUACUUUCCAUAUUGUUGCUCCAAAGUAAGGUAAAUAGGAGUUUUAGUUGUACUGGCCUGUAAGAUUUUUUAAAUUACACAGUGCAUGACAACAACUAAAGCCAACUCAGUCCUUCUCUUGGCAUUGUGAGUUGAGGACCUUUAGCCAACUGUUAGCUCAUCUGACUAUCUGUCUAGACCAAGGGUCGGCAAAGUUUUCAGUAAAGACCCACAGAGUACAUAUUUUGGAGUUUGUGUUGUCUGUACCAACAGACAGACAUGGUGUCUGUCCCAACUACCCAACUCUGCCAUUGUAGCACUAAAGCAGCCAUAGACAAGAUGUAAACAGAAGAGCAUGGCUGUGUUCCAGUAAAACUUUAUUUACAGGCCAGGCAUGGUGGCUCAUGCCUGUAAUCCCAGCACUCUGGGAGGCUGAGGCUGACAGAUCAUCUGAGGUUAGGAGUUUGGGACCAGCCUGGUCAACAUAGUGAAACCCCAUCUCUACUAAAAGUACAAAAAUUAGCCAGGCAUGACGGUGGGUGCCUGGAGUCCCAGCUACCUGGGAGGCUGAGGCAGGAGAAUCACUUGAACCCGGGAGGUGGAGGUUGCAGUGAGCCGAGAUCAUGCCAUUGCACUCCAGCCUGGGCGACAGAGUAAGACUGUCUCAAAAACAAACAAACAAACAAACAAACAAAAACAAGUGGCCAGUCUGUGAGCUAUAGUUCCCAACACCUGGUCUAGACUCUUCUGCCCUUGCUCUGCAGCUUCUUUCCUGUUGAUUGGGCAUUCAGGGAAGGAGUUUAAAAAGUGACACUCAUGGCUCAUGACAAAUGAGAUACUUUGGGAGUGUGGAAACAUGGCUUGAUAUUUGCCUUCAGAUAUUUUUGCUUAUAUAAGUUCUAAAUGGAAGUGAUAAGUUCAUUCUUAGGGUCCAAGUUGAAAGGCAGUGGUUCUUUUGUGAACACCACUAACUACAUUCGAAAAGCCUCUCCAAUUCCACAUUCCAAGUCUAUAACAGCUUUGGAAAUGAGUAACAAUGACCUCUCAUGUAGUAGAUUAAAGCAGAGGCCUUUGCCAUAUGAUUGUUUUUUGGCUUAAAUGUUUGCUUGCCCUGUAACUGUAAUACUUUGGUUACCAGAAUCACUUGAAAACAAAUACAAUAAAAAAAUUUCUCAA